rnacentral:rRNA from 1 species
GAUGAACGCUGGCGGCGUGCUUAACACAUGCAAGUCGAACGAUGAACCUCACUUGUGGGGGGAUUAGUGGCGAACGGGUGAGUAACACGUGAGUAACCUGCCCUUGACUCUGGGAUAAGCCUGGGAAACCGGGUCUAAUACUGGAUACGACCUUCUGGCGCAUGCCAUGUUGGUGGAAAGCUUUUGUGGUUUUGGAUGGACUCGCGGCCUAUCAGCUUGUUGGUGGGGUAAUGGCCUACCAAGGCGACGACGGGUAGCCGGCCAGAGAGGGUGACCGGCCACACUGAGACUGAGAAACGGCACAGAAUCCUACGGGAGGCAGCAGUGGGGAAUAGUGCGCAAUGGGCGCAAGCCUGAUGCAGCGACGCCGCGUGAGGGAGGAAGGACUUCGGGUUGUAAGCCUCUUUCAGUAGGGAAGAAGCCAGCUUUUGGGUUGGUGACGGUACCUGCAGAAGAAGCGCCGGCUAACUACGUG